AUUGAACGCUGGCGGCAGGCCUAACACAUGCAAGUCGAACGAGUGGCGGACGGGUGAGUAAUGUCUGGGAAACUGCCCGAUGGAGGGGGAUAACUACUGGAAACGGUAGCUAAUACCGCAUACCAUCGGAUGUGCCCAGAUGGGAUUGGCUAGUAGGUGGGGUAACGGCUCACCUAGGCGAAGAUCCCUAGCUGGUCUGAGAGGAUGACCAGCCACACCAGAACUGGGACAAUGGCCAGUAUCCUACGGGAGGCAGCAUUGGGGAAGAUUGCACACAGUGCGCAAACCUGAUGCAACCAUACCGCGUGUAUGAAGAAGGCCUUCGGGUUGUAAAGUACUUUCAGCGAGGAGGCAUUACUCGCAGAAGAAGCACCGGCUAACUCCGUACCAGCAGCCGCGGUAAUAC
rnacentral:rRNA from 1 species